rfam:Brachypodium distachyon strain Bd21 chromosome 3, whole genome shotgun sequence.
UUAUUAUUCCCUCCGAUCCAUAUUACUUGUCGUAGCAUUGUCUAGAUAUGCAUGUAUCUACACAAUGAAAAGUGUCUAGAUACAUGCGUAUCUAAACAAAACAGCGACAAGUAAUAUGGAUCGGAGGCAGUAUCAC